AGGAUCUCAAGAGUUAGAUUGUACUUUUGAAAGAGUUACCCAGAUACCACAUGACAAAUUGCUGCAGUACAAAAAGAAAAUCACCAGAAAUUGCACACCAUUAGUUAUGACAUACCUUUCCUCCCUGGAACGUAUACAGAAAAUCAUCAAACAAUUGCUAUCCAUACUAGAAGAAGACCCAAUUCUUAAAGAGAUCUUCCCAGAACCACCAAUCCUAGCAUUUAAACAAGCACCAGAGUUCACCAAUCUCA